rnacentral:tRNA from 1 species
GGGUGAUUAGCUCAGCGGUAGAGCACUGCCUUCACACGGCAGGGGUCACAUGUUCGAUCCAUNCGCUUU